rnacentral:lncRNA from 1 species
CCUGAUCUCCCCACACCCUCUGACCCUAGGCAACCACUAAUCUACUUUCUGUCUCUAUAUAGUUUUACCUACUCUGGCCAUUUCAUAUAAAUGGAAUCAUACAAUACAGUCUUUUGUGACUGCUUCUUUCACUUUCAUAAUGUCUUCAAAGUUCAUUUAUGUUGUAGCAUUUAUCAGUACCUCAUUUCUUUUUCAUUACCAAAUAUUUCAUUGUAUGUAUAUAUCGCACCUUAUCAAUUUAUCAGUUGAUGGACUGGUAAGUCGAUAAAAACAAGUCCAUCAACUGAUAAAUGGGUUGUUUCCACUUUUUGUCUAUUAUGAAUAACAUUCACGUACAAGUUUUCAUGUGAACACAUUUCCAUUCUCUUGGGUAUAUACCAAACUAAAAAAGUGGAAUUAGCCAGGCAUGGCUCACACCUGUAAUCCCAGCACUUUGGGAGGCCAACGUGUAUUACUUGACCUCACAAGUUCAAGACCAGCCUGGGCAACAUGGCAAAAUCCCGUCUCUUAAAAAAAAAUACAAAAAUUAGCCAGGCGUGGUGUUGCAUGCCUAUAGUCCCAGCUGCUGGGGAGGCUGAGGUGGGAGGAUCACUUAAGCCCAGGAGAUGGAGGUUACAGUGAGCCAUGAUUGCACCACUGCACUCAGCUUAGAUGACAGAGUGAGACCCUGUCUCAAAAAAAAAAAAAAAAAAUUAAAAAAUUAAGGUAGAACUACUGGGUCAUAUGGUAACUCUACCUUUAACCCUUUGAAAAAUUGCCUGGUUUUUUUUUUUUUUUUUUGAGACAGAGUCUCGCUAUGUCACCAGGCUGGAGUACAGCUGCAUGAUCUUGGCUCACUGCAACCUCCGCCUCCUGGGUUCAAGCGAUUCUCCUGCCUCAGCCUCCCAAGUACCUGGGACUACAGGUGCAUGCUACCAUGCCCGGCUAAUUUUUGUAUUUCUAGUAGAGACAGGGUUUCACCAUGUCGGCUAGGAUGGUCUCGAUCUCUUGACCUCGUGAUCUGCCCAGCUCGGCCUCCCAAAGUGUUAGGAUUACAGGCGUGAGCCACCGCGCCCGGCCAGAACUGCCUGUUUUUCAAAGUGGUUGUACUAUUUUACAUUCCCAUCAGCAGUGUGUAAGAGUUCUAAUUUUUAUAUAUUGUAGCCAACAUUAGCAGAUAUGAAGUGGUUUCUCACUGUGGUUUGAUCUUAAUUUGCAUUUCCCUGAUGGCUAAUUAUGUUGAACAUGCUGUUUUCAUGUACUUAACAGGCCAUUCCACCACAUAUCUUCUUUUGAAGAAACUGUCUAUUCAGAACCUUUACCCAUUUUUCAAUGAUUUGUCUUUAUUACUAAAUUAUGAUAGUUCUUUAUUCUGGAUAUAAAUCUCUUAUGUGACUGCAAAUAUAGUCUCCUAUUCUGUGGGUUAUCUUUUCAUUUUCUUCAUGAUCUUCGAAGCACAAAAGUUCUUAAUUUUCAUGAUGUCCAAUGUAUGUUUUUUUUUUUUUCUUUUGUUUGUGCUUUUGGAGUCAUAUCUCAGGCCACUGCCUAAUCCAAGGUCAUAAAGAUUUGCCUCUGUCUUCUUCUAAAGGUUGUACAUUAAUAGCUUUUGCUCUGACAUUUAGGUCUUUGAGCCAUCUGGUCCACCUUCAGUUUUUCUGUGUGCAUAUCCAGUUGUAUCAGCACUAUCUGUUGAAAACUGUUCUUUUUCCACAGAAUUGUCUUGGCACCCUUGUUGAAGAUCAAUGGGCCAUUAUUGCUGGGUUUAUUUCUGGACUCUCAAUUUUAUUCCAUUGAUCUAUAUGUAUAUCCAUAUGCUAGUACCCCACUGUCUUGACUUGUAAUAAGUUUUGAAACCACAAAGUGUAAGUCCUCCAACUUAGUUUUUCUUUUUCAAGAUUGUUCUGGAUAUUUUAGGUCCCUUAAAGUUCCAUAUGAAUUUUGUCAGCUUGUCAAAGAAGCCAGCUGAGAUUAUGAUAGGGACUGUGCUGAAUGUGAAGGUCAAUUUGUGGAGUACUACCAUCUUAACAAUAUUAAGUCUUCUGAUCCAUGGCCACCAAAUGUCUUUCCACUUAUUUGGGUCUUCUUUAAUUUCUUUCAACAAUGUUUUGUAGUUUCCAGAGUAAAAGUUUUAUGCUUUGUGACUAAAGUUAUUCCUAUCAAAUUGUUUUCAUGCUAUUGUAAAUGGGAUUGCUUUCUUUUUCUUUUCUUUUUUUUUUUUUUCGAGAGAGGGUCUUGCUCUGUCGUCCAAGCUAGAGGGCAGAAGUGCAAUCUUGGCUCACUGCAACCUACACCUCCUGGGCUCAAGCGGUCCUCCUGCCUCAGCCUCCCUAGCAGUUGGGACUACAGGCACAUGUCACCCAGAAAAAAAUAAUUUUUGUAUUUUUUGUAGAGACGGGGUUUCACCAUGUUGCCCAGGCUGGUCUUGAACUCCUGGGCUCAAGCCAUCUGCCCACCUCAGCCUUCCAAAAUGAUGGGAUAACAAGCGUGACCAGUUUUCUUUGUUUUUGCUUUUGAGAUGGAUUUUCCCUCUGCUGCCCAGGCGGGAGUGCAGGGUGUGAUCUCAGCUCACUGCAACCUCCACCCUCUGGGUUCAAGUGAUUCUUCUGCCUCAGCCUCCCAAAUAGCUGGGAUUACAGGUAUGCGCUACCAUGCCCAGCUAAUUUUUGUAUUUUUAGUAGAGAUGGGGUUUCACCAUGUUGGCCAGGCUGGUCUCGAACUCCUGACCUCAAGUGAUCUGCAAGCCUUGGCCUCCCAAAGUGCUAGGAUUACAGGCAUGAGCCACUGUGCUGGGCCAAAAACAGGUUUUUCUAUAUGGCUCUUUUAUCUUGCAACCUUGGCAAACUCACCUAUUAUUUCUAAUAGUUUUUUUAAUGCAUUCCUAAGAUAUGUUUGAUUUUGAAUGCCAACACAGUAAAUAAUUCAGACAACAAGACACACUGAAGAACUAGCGUCUUAAUGCUGUAAUGUUCUCAAAUAUAGCCAGGAAAAAUAUGACUAUGAAAGUAUAGUAUUUAUAAGUUUUUGAAUUUUAGUAAUCUCUGCAAGCUAAAAAAAAUUUAAUUGUAGUGGGUAUAAAGCAAAAAUACAGAAUCAGCUUGUUAAUCACUAAUGAUUUUAGGGUGUAAUUCAAAAGAAACUGACCUUUUAAAAAACCAAAAUUAUUCAAAGAAAAAAAAUUAAGAUUCAACCAUGGAUAAAAUGGCAGGAAAAAACCCUUUAUUUCCUUUAUUGAAUAUUAUGUUUACUAUAAACUUACAUCAAUUCCAAGACAAUCUAUUAAAAAAUCUAAAAUAUUUAAGGUUUCUUAUACAUAUGCAUGCACAGAUGUACAUUUUCUGAAGCAAGGACUUCCUAGCAAUUCACAUUUCACCCAGACUCCCUCCAACGCUAUGUCAGCUCAAUUUAAUGUCAACCAAUGCAGCCAUAAGUAACUAGAAACAAGUUAACCUUAAGCUACUGAAGAAGGAAAACAGACUACACAAGAAAUCCAUAGCUCAUAUAACACAGUAUUAAAAUGGGGCAUGAUUGUGAUCAAUUGAUGGAGUGUUACAAAAAUUAAAAAACAAUUUUCCAUUCCUUCUCUAUGAAAAUAAUCAUGCUCCUUAGUCUUAUAUUGGAAAGUUAUGAAAAAAAAUCACAAUAUUGUAUAUGCUGUUUGAUUUUCAACGUUUAUAAUCAAACUAUAGUAAAAGCAUAGAAGAAUUAACAGUUAAGGAACAGUACGUAAAUGUUACAAACUCUGAUUUCUUUUUUUUUUUUUUUUUUUUUUGAGAGUCAGGGUCUUGCUCUAUCACCCAGGCUUGAGUGCAGUGGCAUGAUCACGGCUUACUGCAACCUUGACCUCCUGGGCUCAGGUGAUCCUCCCACCUUAGCCUCCCAAGUAGCUGGGACUACAGUCCAACUAAUUUUAUAUUUUGUAGAGAUGGGGUCUCAUUACGUUGCCCUGACUGGUCUCAAACUCCUGGGCUCAAGCGAUUCUCCUGCCUUGGCCUCACAAAGUGUUGGGAUUAUAGGUGUACGCCACCAAGCCUGCCCACAAACCCUGAUAUUAUAAACAUAAUGAGGUUACAUACCAGCAAAGUAAAGGCAGGAGGACAGGUGAAUGGUGUACUUUUAUACAGUGGAGAGCUAAAGUUGACAGGUUGAGACACAUAUUAUUUAGAGCUUUAAAGAUAACUACUAGAGGAGCCAAAAAUGAUAAUACAAUUUACAGAAAUUAGUAAAUGGAGAGAGGAUGAGAAACAAGAGACAGAAAGUAAUAAAAGUAUCUUAGAUUCCUCAUCUUUCAUAAUGGGGAGUUAACAGUAUUGUCUAAUGUUAAAGAAAUCACAGUAUACAUAUAUUAUUUACAGCAACAAUGGUAGCCAGCAAAAGCACUGUAAACAGAAACUGCUGAAAGUGGCUGUCUACUGGCAUUUUACCCUCUUUUACAUUGUUGAAGUUUCAUUUUUCUGCUUUGUUUCAAAAUGUACAUAUUUUUCUUAGUCUUCAUGUUUGGAUUUCAGAAUAGGAAGCUUUAGAUCUAGGUUAACAUUAGCUAUUUAUAAAUUUUUCAUCCCUUAGUGACCAGAUAUUAGGAUAAAUCUAAUACUUUCAUCCAGGACUUUCUAGAUUUAACAUUACUAGGGAAAUAUGAGAGUAAAACUGAGUCCCUUUGACAGAGAGGGGGGAAAAACCCUAUCUACCUUUGAAUCUAAAAACCAGUGAUUCUCAAACUGCAGAAAACAACAAGAAGGUCAAUGAAUAAAGCCCAAAGUUAUGCUUGCCAAGAUGGCUAGUAUAGAAACAAGGUCAUUCAAGCGUAACGGCCUCUUUCAAUACCAAGUACCUUAGUUUAAAUGAUAAAUAAUCCAUGCAUUAAGCUAUAUAGUUAAGAAAUUAUGUAAGCUGAAAUUAAACCACACAGAGAAAGUCCACUAUAACAUGGUUAACUUACAGGGUAGUUGUUAACUAUAUUUUUACAGGGAGCCCCCACCCCCACCCCCCGGCCGCCAUCAUAAAAUUCUGUUUAACUAAGUCUGCUUCCAGAAUUAGAAUUAACCAUUUACUCACGCAAAUAGACAGCCUGGAGAACGAAACAUUAAGUAACUUGCCCACAAGCCCUCCAAAAAGGCUGAGAUGGACCCACACCCUCAUAAAAUAGAGUUCCAAGCAGGAAAGGAGAACAUGAAGUCAAACAGGGCUUUCCUCCUGGGACUUUCUCCGUUGGAGGGGAAAAUCUCAGAAGCCAUCAGCAGACUUCCUUUACAUCUCAUUUGUCCAGAACUGGUUCAGAUGCCCACCAGACCAAACACUGGGGAAACUAUGACUGACUUAAGAGCUGUCACAGUCUAUAUCCUGGGGUUUAGCACCUUGCCAUUUAAAAAAUGAGGGAAUCUGGCAGCAAGCAAGAAGAGGGAAUAGCUAUUGAGCAGGAAACCAACAAUGUCAGCCACAUCUGCAUUCAAUAUUUACCAAAAUUUAGUAAAGAUUACAUACAUAUUAGUUUGACCAAAAAGGGUAAAAAAAAGUUAAAUUAAGAGGAUAGGAGACAGAAGUAUAUACAUUGGGAGAAGGGUGUAUAUAACAACUAAAUCCUCAUCUUCCAUAGCAGAAAAUGAAUUAAUAUCCCAAACUAAGAAAUAGGCUGGGCAUAGGGGCUCACACCUAUAAUCACAGCACUUUGGGAGGCUGAGGCAAGAGGGUCAUCUGAGCCCAGGAGUUUAAGACCAGCUUGGGAAACAUGGUGAGAAAUCAUCUUUACAAAAAUUUUAAAAAUUAGCCGUGCUUGGUGGCACUCCUAUGAUCCCAGGAGGCUGAGCCCAGGAGGUCAAGGCUGCAGUGCACAUUAGCUAAAUGAGUUUAAAAUGGUUUCUCUGAGAGUGGAAAUGGAGAUGAAGGAACGGGGCAUCGGAAUGUUGCUUUUUGUUGUGUGGCCAGUAAGACUAUAUGACUUUUACAACUUUGUUGCUUUCAUAGGUAUUAAAAAAAUGUAAUAAUAAUAAAAAAAAAAAGCAAAAUGGCAAGAAAAAAAGCAUGAACACUGAUGAAUGUUCAUUUACGAAAGGACAAUUACUACGUGGUUCCAUUUAACUGAGAUUCCUAGAGUAGUCAAAUUCAUGAAGACACAAAGUAGGAUGAUUAGCUGCCGGAGGCUGCGGUGGUACUGCUUAAUGGGAAGUUAUUGUUUAAUUGGUAUGAGGUUUCAGUUUAGGAAGAUGAAAAACGUUCUGAAGAUGGAUGGUGGUGAUGGUUGCAAAACAAGGUGAAUAUAUUUAAUCCCACUGAGCUGUACAAUUAAAAAUGACUAAAAUGGAAAUUUUUGUUAUGUAUGUUUAAAACAUCAAGAGAUAGUGUAUUAAAAAACCAUUAUAAGGAACUAAGAAAAAAGAUGCUUACAAAAUAUCUUAUAAAUACAUACAUACAAACCAACACUGCUAGGGCAGCAGGGACCACGAGGAGGAAGGUAUCCUUCAAGCCUAGACAUUGAAUUAAAAAAAGAAACAAAGCAUUUGGCAUGUAACUUCAAUUUCUACUAGGAAUUCUUGACAAUUCUCCAGCUAUGUCUCACAUAAGGGCCCACCAAAAGAUGAGAAACAGAUACAAGAUGAACAAGCAGCAAGUGCUUCUAAUGCACUCAGAAAAGAAGUCUAAGCCUGUCUUUCUCUCUCCCACCCCCAUAAGGGAAAAUAAGAAAGGAAAAAACAGAAAGGACUUAACAAAGAAAGUGUUUUCUCUGCUUUUUAUUCUUUCAACUUAGGAAGGUAGAACAAGGUCUAUGUUUUAUUGACUGAGUUAUAGAACAUUCAUGAAUGAACUUCAGUUUUAAACAUCUGUUCUUCAUGGAGACUCUGGAUGAAGAGACAGACUCCUGAAAAGCUCUAUGGCAAAUAACCCAGAGGAAACUAAAAGCUGCCUAACUCUGUAUUCUUCAGGGAGACAGGUGGUGGCCAAACCACAUUCACUGUGCACAACCAUCAAAUCUCUGAAGUGCUAAUAAACCAACAAAGACAAUUUUUAUCUUAACAAAAGAAACAGGGCUGGGCAUGGUGGUUCAAUCCCAGCACUCUGGGAGGCCGAGGUGGGCGGAUCACUUGAGGUCAGGAGUUCGAGACCAGCCUGGCCAACAUGGUAAAACCCCAUCUCUACUAAAAAUACAAAAAUCAGCCACGCGUGGUGGUGGGCGCCCGUAAUCCCAGCUACUCAGGAGGCUGAGGCAGGAGAAUCACUUGAACCCAGGAGGCGGAGGUUGCGGUGAGCCAAGAUGGCGCCAUUGCACUCCAGCCUGGGCAACAAGAGUGAAACUCUGUCUCAAAGAAAGAAAGAAAAAAAAAAGCAGCUCCCUUCACCCCCAAUACUCUUUAUUUUGGUAUAGUUCACUUUCACUCCCAGUGGAUUAUUUUCCCUUCUUCCUGCUUUCUCCUUUUUUCCAAACCCAUCCAAUGACCUUUAUGAAAUUCUGUCCCAAUGAACCAAUCAUAUCAACUAUCCAAGAGGCAGAAGAGCUACAACCCAGACAAAAUUUCAGACCAUCACAGUUAGUUCCCCUCUGCUGCCCUUGUUAUGGUAACAGCAUACUUUUCCAUGGCUGAUGAGAACUCUGUGAAGGAAAAGAAAGGCAAAGAGAAAGGGUAAAAGAGGUGUCUCUGUUUCUGCUCAUUCCGCAGAGCAAAACAACUCUUCUAAAAGGGGGCAGUUCAGCACCUAGAAAGGAAAUAAGGUAGCGGAAAGAAUCAUAUUAGCUAGCAUUCCAGAGGUAGAAAAGUCUCUUUAAAUGUUUGCAAACUUCCUUUCCUAGUAAGAUAAGCAUCUCAAAACAGUAGAGGAAAAAACUGGAAUAGUGAUCAGGAUACUAAAUUUGAGGGACUCACGGACAAUAAUUAGCUGUUUAAUACUAACAAGUUACUUAACUUCUCUGGGUCCCAAUUUCUCUCAAUAAUAAAAUGAAAGCAUUAGGUUUCUUCUAGGUCACUAGUGUUAUUAAAAGUGGAGCCAACUAUAGUAACUUUACCUUCCUUUGAGGGCAGAGGUAGCUUCUCAAUGGAAGAACCAAAUAUCAUCCCCACUCCUCCACAGGCAGAUAGAAAAAAAAAUAAAAUCCAAGAGCUUUUUUUUUGGCCUGGAAUUUGCCCAACAAAAAGUUUCCUCUUCCUUCAUAAGGAGAAAGGGUACUCUUCCAGCAAUAUGAGAAAUCCAAGAGGUUACAGCAAGUGUGUUUUCACCCACUUCUCACUUCCCAAACCACAGAAAGACAAUUUUGAGAAAGCUCAAGGGUAAGCUGUAUCUCCUGUGAUCCCCAAUGAAUAAAGAACUCUUCAAGGGGGAGAAACUCUAAGUUUGCUAUGCUGUGAAUGUCCCUGCUCAGUCUGAUCAUUUAGGGCAUUCGGUCCAUCAACUGUUGUUAUGCUGGAAUGCUCUGACAUGUAUGUGACCCUCCAGAAGAUUUCUAGAAGUUUGAGGCAGGAAAUGUUAAUCCCCUCCCUUACCACUAAAUAGAGAUUUCCAAUACAAGCCUAUCACUCAUUUUUCUAAAUGUUUUCAAGUCUGAAAUAUAUGUUAGCACUUGACUCUACUCUUUCAGAACUAAAAAUCUUAUCUGUCUGCCCCUACCCCCAAAUCAAGAAUUUAAACCUGUUCAGACCAAGGACUGUAUUUCCUACUUUUGUCUGUUGUCCCCUUUUGUGCGAACCACUCCCCUGGGCACACAAAAUUUACUAACGAUACCUAACCAUAUUAAUCCAGGAGUCUGGAGGUGGCCAGAUAACAAACUAUUGCACCCUGGUUGAGGGAAAUAAAAUUACAUGAUGAGAGGAAGAUGAAUGUAGCAUUAGAGAUACACAAACCGUCAGAGGGGGAAGUUAAAUCAGUAAGUAAAGAACACCUAAACAGUAUUCAUUGCUGUAAUAGUGAUUAAAUCCAACUGCAACGGCACCAUGUCCUUAUAAAGAUAUUAAAUAAGCCCUCAUGUUAAAAAUCCACUGAUUACAGCCAGGCGCAGUGGCUGACGCCUGUACUCCCAGCACUUUGGGAGGCCGAGGCGGGCAGAUCACGAGGUCAGAAGAUUAAGACCAUCCUGGCUAAGCCGCCCCGUCCGGGAGGUGAGGGGCGCCUCUGCCCGGCCGCUCCUACUGGGAAGUGAGGAGCCCCUCUGCCCGGCCAGCCGCCCCAUCCGGGAGGGAGGUGGGGGGUCAGCCCCCCGCCCGGCCAGCCGCCCCAUCUGGGAGGUGAGGGGUGCCUCUGCCCGGCCGCCCCUACUGGGAAGUGAGGAGCCCCUCUGCCCGGCCAGCCGCCCCGUCUGGGAGGGAGGUGGGGGGGGGGUCAGCCCCCCGCCCGGGAGGUGAGCGGCGCCUCUGCCCGGCCGCUCCUACUGGGAAGUGAGGAGCCCCUCUGCCCGGCCACCACCCCAUCUGGGAGGUGUACUCAACAGCUCAUUGAGAACGGGCCAUGAUGACAACGGCGGUUUUGUGGAAUAGAAAGGGGGGAAAGGUGGGGAAAAGAUUGAGAAAUCGGAUGGUUGCCGUGUCUGUGUAGAAAGAGGUGGACAUGGGAGACUUUUCAUUUUGUUCUGUACUAAGAAAAAUUCUUCUGCCUUGGGAUCCUGUUGAUCUGUGACCUUACCCCCAACCCUGUGCUCUCUGAAACAUGUGCUGUGUCCACUCAGGGUUGAAUGGAUUAAGGGUGGUGCAAGAUGUGCUUUGUUAAACAGAUGCUUGAAGGCAGCGUGCUCGUUAAGAGUCAUCACCACUCCCUAAUCUCAAGUACCCAUGGACACAAACACUGCGGAAGGCCACAGGGUCCUCUGCCUAGGAAAACCAGAGACCUUUGUUCACUUGUUUAUCUGCUGACCUUCCCUCCACUAUUGUCCUGUGACCCUGCCAAAUCCCCCUCUGCGAGAAACACCCAAGAAUGAUCAACAACAACAAAAAAAAAAAGACCAUCCUGGCUAACAUGGUGAAACCCUAUCUCUACUAAAAAUACAAAAAAUUAGCUGGGCGUGGUGGUGGACGCCUGUAGCCCCAGCUACUCGGGAGGCUGAGGCAGGAGAAUGGCGUGAACCCAGGAGGCAGAGCUUGCAGUGAGCCGAGAUCGCGCCACUGCACUCCAGCCUAGGCUACAGAGCGAAACUCCGUCUCCAAAAAUAAAUAAAUAAAUAAACAAAUAAAUCCAAAGAUUAUGAUGGGCUCUCCCAAUAAAUACAAGCUCAACAGUAAAGAAGAGCCAAGAUCACAAGUAUUUAAAUCCAAAACAAGAAACUGUGUGUAGAAACAAUGUCGGGGGAAGUUAAGUGAUAUUUGAGAAAACAGUGAUUGAGUGUUGUUAGGAGGAGGGGUAAUGAAUUAGUAUUUCUGGCAGACUCUUUGCAAGCACUUUAAGAACUAAUCCAGGCUAUGAGACAGGCUUCUAUCUUUGAAGCAACGCUUAAAGACUAUGCCCUUAUUUUUAAAAGUAUGGUAGCUUGACUAUUUGACAUAAGCCAAAAACGUGUCUAGGUGGCUCUUCCCUCAGGGGAUUAAUAUAUAGCUGAAAGUUUAGUUCCCUUUCCAAAUACAUUAUAGCUGAGUGCAGUUGUCACUAUGACGUGUUCUGAACUUCUGGAAGCACAGGCAUUUACUGAGCAAUACCACAAAGAAUUCUGGAAGAAGUUAUAAAUCCCUUUCCAUCACCUCGGAAAACAGCAUCUAUUUCUUAAAAGCUAUCAGUUCAAGUUCAAGACAACUCUUAUAUGGAGCAGAUUCUGGUCUGCCAAAAUUUUUCAGGAUUAAAAAGCAAGAUCUUGGCCGGGUGCAGUGGCUCACGCCUGUAAUCCCAGCACUUUGGGAGGCUGACGGGGCGAAUAACUUGAGCCCAGGACGAGCCUGGGCAACAUGGAGAAACCCAGACUCUACCAAAAUACAAAAAAAUUAGCCAGGCGUGGUGGCACGUGCCUGUGGUCCAGCUACUCAGGAGGCUGAGGUGGGAGGAUCGCUUGAGCCCAGGAAGUAGAGAGUGCAGUGAGCCGAGGUCGUGCCACUGUACUCCAGCCUGGGCGACAGAGUGAGACCCUGUACCAUGCUCAAACACGAGUUGGUCUUGAACUGAUCAUAUCGGGGGGAGAUUUCUUCCAUGAGUUAAGCCACCUAAGAACUCCACUAUUCUGCAAAGUUAACAUUUCCUUAAACCCAGCUCUCCAUAUAUAUUACUGAACUUCUGCCUGGGUCAUUUAAAAAGCCUUUCAAGGCAGCCCGCCCAGCCCCCAGAGCGGCCUGGCUGAAUUUCUCUGUAAAGCUCCCUCCUAGAUUUUAUCCCUUGGUGUUGGCAAGAAGGUCUCCUUACUCCACAGGCCUUGCUAUUGUGCAACUGAUUUAAGGAUGGUCCAGGCCUAACUGCAUCGGAUUGGUUGUAGUACAGCUCCUGAGCCCUGCCCACAGGAACAAGGCUAGCAAUCCUCUAGACCGCAGGAGCUGCGAAGUCCCCACCCUCUAGCAAGAGGCCACCCCAGCACCAAAAGAAGACAAAGUUCUGAAGUUAAAAAGGAGGCCCCGUUCCCUUCAAUAAGGCUCCUCAAAAUCGCUUUCCAGGCUCCUCCCUCUGGAGGACAGCCCAGUUAGGGCACAGACAACCUUUGAGCUCUCUUCCCGUGACCAAGCUUCACCUCUACCCCAGUAUUACUUAUUUGUAAACAGUUCCUGGUCAUGCUUUGAAAAGCAAUGCCAGGGAACCACCCUCUCUCUGGAUUGCCUCUCUCUAGCCCCUUCCACAGGAUCAAGCAACCACCCCACCCAACUGGGGUGUCCUUGACAAAGGUCCUUCAAUCCAUUUCCAAAGGCGUCGCUGCCGAAAGACACCCUACCUUAAGGCUGUCAGCACCCUACCACCCCCACCUACUUUCCCUUGGCUAUUACUUGAGCUUUAUUUUAUCACGCUCUCCUCCCGGCCUGGGGACUCCCCUCACCCGUGGGGCCUCGUCCAGCAAAGUAAACAAUGCUGUCAAAGCGGGAUAACGCUGGGCGAGGCUUCCAGACUCCGCAUUCCAGCCUCCUCCCGGUGUUCUAAAAGCAGCAAAAACAAGCCAUCGCAGGAUGCCAGGGCCGAAUUCCUCUCCCAAAGUUCUUUUUUAAAAAGCCCCGGAGCCAGCUCCAAAAUCAAGCAUUAAUUUGCACAAUCUACGACAGGCAAUGCAGACUGUAAUGCAAGGCCAAGUGGAGCCAAAUCCGCCCGGGAAGGAGGCAGAGAGGAGAGAGAGAACUGGGUCGAAUGCGUAAGCCUGCCACGAAGCGGAAACAAGAGCUCUUUUUCGCGACAGGACAGCCACAUUCCCGAGUGGGGCGCGCGCCGACUCGAGCUGCGGGCAAGAGCGAACACGAAGUAAAGGGUCCCGAACGCUCGGGCGGGCCCAAGGGCAGCGUCCCCGGGGCUUCGGUGGAGCUGGGGGCGGGGGCGAAGCGGCCGGGCACCGAGGCGCCGAGGAGUUAGAGGACCGCGGCGGGACACCGGGCGCGG